UGGGAAAAGUUUGUUUAUGUUUUGAAGGGCAGGUCCACACACACACACACACACACACACGCACAGAGAGAGAGAGGAUUCGUUUACUGUUGUGCUUUAAACUUGUUAUGGGAGUUAUGGGAGGAGGUUCUGUUUUCAUUUAAUGUGACGCUGUUUUAUUUCCUCCUCAAUAUCGACAACGCAGUGUCAAAUAGACCAUGUGAUGCAACAAGUGCAGUUGUGCUGGAUCAGCCGGUUUAUUCUCUGUUUACAUGUGGGUUUACCUCAUGGCAGCCACAACAUGUUUCCUUGGAUCCUAGGACCUCAGAUUUCAAGAAAGUCACGAUUGCUGUCUAUCUGCUUCCAGUUUCUUUGACACUCUCCAUCACAGUCCCUUUCAUCUCUUUACUUAGCACCUAGAGGCGCUGCUGAUUGUGUCUCAUAGAGACUGAUAAAGAUGACUAAAGAGCCUCUUAGGAUAGUUAUUGAAACUGUGUUGGUGUGGUAGCAUCAUUUUGUAUGCGUCUGUGUGCACGUAUCUGCUCUACUCUGGGUCUCAAUGUCAAUCUUUUUCAUGAUGUGUUACUGAAGUGCUAUUUUUUGUAUUGCACAGUACAGUAUGUUGAGUUCUGAAAUUUUUUGGUGCCAGUUUUUUACUUUGGUGUCCCAUGACUUUUGUGAAAGCACUAGAGGUAUAAACUCAACAGAAAAGUAACCAACUGGAGCAUGGCAAAUAGGCAGUAAAUACAUCAAAUGUCGUAUCCCUUAUAAAAAAUGUUAUUGAUAGAGAAGUUUUGGCUUUUCGAAAAUCCAACUAUUCAUACUAUAUUUUCUGAAAAUAAACAUUCUGUUGGUUGUAUUUUUAAUUUUGAACUCAUUAAAAACAUAUAUUUUAGUCCAACAUUCUACAUAUAACCUAUGAUUCUCAUUUUGAGGUGUCUAAAGUGGAGGUGUUCUAUAGUACACUCAUUCAGUCCCAUAAUGCACAGCAAUGAAAAGUGUACAGACAAAAUGGUCUCAUCAAGUGAAAUGUUCUUGCAACAAUUUU
rnacentral:lncRNA from 1 species